GACCAUCUUGUGUGUUUACGGAGAAGACCAAAAGCUGCUAAGGCAGAUAUUUCCAGAGGACUUCUCCAUCAGCUCUCCACAAUAGCAGCCCUUCCAAAAGGGUGUGUGUGUGUGUGUGUGUGACCUUUAAGGUCAUUUAAUGAUAGAAAUGCAUUUUCCAGCUGAAAAUUAUUUAUAAAAUAUAAUUGUUAUUAACCGUAUUAUUUUGGCUUGCAUAUAUUCACAACAGAAGCGAUCAGUGAUUACAGGAGAUUAAGAGGUAAUAAUGUGAAAUAUUAGUCUUAACAAUAUUUUUCUAAUUAGUUAAUCACUUUUAAAUGGAAGAAAAUAAUAUGAUUUCAGCUGGUGCCUUGCAAGUCCUGGUUUGUAAAAAUAUUAUUUGUCAUUUUAUAAACUUCUCUGCAAACAAAUUGACAAUUUAUAUUUAUUUAUUCAUUUUUUGUAUUUUAUAUAUAUUUUUUUUAUAUUAACCAAUUUAGUUUUAAAGGGGCUUUCUAUUACAUAAUUCUGUCUGUACCUAUUAGUUACUUAAUCAGUAAGUAAUUUUUAAUAUUGUUAUAUUUCACAAUAAUAUAUUAUUUUUUAUAAUAACUGCUUUUUUGUUUUUAUUUCUUCAUAGUGACAAACUAGAGAGAAAGAAUGGUGUUAUUGGCAUUGUUUGUCUGAAAAGUUUGACAUAUCAAUAAACACUGAUAUGGAAAUUA